AACGUGUAUAACGUGUCAUUGGCAGCCGUUAUCUUAUUGGUCGUUCUAUUAACCCAUGAAACAAACAAGGCCUACCGUGCUCGUAUAACAUCGCGGUAUACAUCAUCAAUGGACUGCUUCCAAUAAACUAUAGCAGCAGUUUCUGCCAAGUCAUUAAUCAUUCAGAAGACGGUGCCAAAGAGAGUAAUAUCGAAUAGUACGGAAACUGAAAUCCCUUUGGACUAAUCGUUUAAAAGUUUCUUCCAACACAAAAUUCCUACAUGAAUAAUUCAAAGAAAGAGGAUUAUUGCAAAGAAAAAUUUUAAUUCAAAAACACUGGAAAACACUGGUUUGCUCUAUUUCUAUCACCAUUAAUUAAACCAGGAAUAGGACGGAAGCAGACUCAUGCGAAGAUGUAAAUUCAGGAAGCUCGACUAAGCUACAGCUUGUUAAACUGGUUACCGAGAUGGGCAUAAGAGGCAAGAAGCUGUGAACAAGAGCUACAUCAAGAAUUUUGCACCAUAUUUAGAGUUCUUACUUUUUUUUCUAAUAGCUUUUUCAAAAGUGCUCAAACAUACUCUGCAGACACGUGCGAGGUGUUCUCUAUUGAUAUAGUCAAGUACGUGAGAGUUUCUAGGAAAUUACAUGUCAAGCGUCACUCUGUCGAUGUGUCUAUAAGUUCAAGCUCCACGAACGUUUACAACAUGUGUCAUGCAAUCUCUCUAUCGUCGUGCUUUUCAAGUGGACACACAUACAUACACAGAGAAGAAAAGAUGGCAUGGAGGUGCGCAUUCACGUCGUGGGUGGUGUGAAUUGACAAGAACAUUACUCGGGCAAAAUUUUCCCCAUCGAUGGUGUUGCAGAUUUUACUGUAAUCACGUUUUCGCUAUAUAAUUAUUGCACAAAGUGGAUAUGAAUAUCGGCAAAAGUUGUUCGCCGAGACACUCGACCUAUCUUCAACAAUUAAAGCAUUGCGAAACAAGCUGCUUUAUGCGUCUAUGAUUUUCCUUUAAUAUAAAAUAUAGCAAAUUAUUUCUAUCAAUAGUUAGACACGAAAGUGAUUUGAAAAUGUCAAAAAUAAUUGAAUUUGUCAUUUAUUUAUUGUGUUAUUAUUGAUGUAUGAAGAUUGGAUAAUUAUUUAUAAAAAAGUACCACCUUCUUGAUGAUUGAUAAAUUUUUAAUAUAUUAUGAAGUUCAUCAUGUUGAAUAAUGUUGUGAAGAUUU